UGUUUGAUGUUCUAACGUGGACCCGUGAUCCGGGUUGCGGACAGUGUCUGGUGGGUAGUUUGACUGGGGCGGUCUCCUCCUAAAGAGUAACGGAGGAGCACGAAGGUUGGCUAAUCCUGGUCGGACAUCAGGAGGUUAGUGCAAUGGCAUAAGCCAGCUUGACUGCGAGCGUGACGGCGCGAGCAGGUGCGAAAGCAGGUCAUAGUGAUCCGGUGGUUCUGAAUGGAAGGGCCAUCGCUCAACGGAUAAAAGGUACUCCGGGGAUAACAGGCUGAUACCGCCCAAGAGUUCAUAUCGACGGCGGUGUUUGGCACCUCGAUGUCGGCUCAUCACAUCCUGGGGCUGAAGUAGGUCCCAAGGGUAUGGCUGUUCGCCAUUUAAAGUGGUACGCGAGCUGGGUUUAGAACGUCGUGAGACAGUUCGGUCCCUAUCUGCCGUGGGCGCUGGAGAACUGAGGGGGGCUGCUCCUAGUACGAGAGGACCGGAGUGGACGCAUCACUGGUGUUCGGGUUGUCAUGCCAAUGGCACUGCCCGGUAGCUAAAUGCGGAAGAGAUAAGUGCUGAAAGCAUCUAAGCACGAAACUUGCCCCGAGAUGAGUUCUCCCUGAGACUUAGAGUCUCCUGAAGGAACGU
rnacentral:rRNA from 2 species